rnacentral:lncRNA from 1 species
CCCCACUUUCAAGUCCGAGCUUGAAUAAAGUCAAUUGAAGAGAGUAUCAGUUCGAGGUUGAGGCUAAUUUCGUCGAGCUAUUUUCAGUUGACACGUGUCAAGAAUCGACUUUGUAUGGUGAACUAUCAUUACAUCUAGGCCGUAGGAUCACUAGAUCCACGAGAGCUCUAUUCUGACCGUCAUGGGUUGCCAUUUAGUGCACAUCAACAGAGGAAGGAGAUUCGUCAG